UACGUAGGUGACAAGCGUUGUCCGGAUUUACUGGGCGUAAAGAGCGCGCAGGCGGUCGUUCAAGUCGAGUGUGAAAGCCCCCGGCUCAACUGGGGAGGGUCAUUCGAUACUGAUCGACUCGAAGGCAGGAGAGGGAAGUGGAAUUCCCGGUGUAGCGGUGAAAUGCGCAGAUAUCGGGAGGAACACCGGUGGCGAAGGCGGUUCUCUGGGCCUUACCUGACGCUGAGGAGCGAAAGCGUGGGGAGCGAACAGG
rnacentral:rRNA from 1 species